rnacentral:rRNA from 1 species
GAUGAACGCUGGCGGCGUGCCUAAUACAUGCCAGUCGAGCGAACGGACGAGAAGCUUGCUUCUCUGAUGUUAGCGGCGGACGGGUGAGUAACACGUGGAUAACCUACCUAUAAGACUGGGAUAAAUUCGGGAAGCCGGAGCUAAUACCGGAUAAUAUUUUGAACCGCGUGGGUCAAAAGUGAAAGACGGUCUUGCUGUCACUUAUAGAUGGAUCCGAGCUGGAUUAGCUAGUUGGUAAGGUAACGGCUUACCAAGGCAACGAUGCAUAGCCGACCUGAGAGGGUGACAGGCCACACGGGAACUGAGACACGGUCCAGACUCCUACGGGAGGCAGCAGUAGGGAAUCUUCCGCAAUGGGCGAAAGCCUGACGGAGCAAAGCCGCGUGAGUGAUGAAGGUCUUCGGAUCGUAAAACUCUGUUAUUAGGGAAGAACAUAUGUGUAAGUAACUGUGCACAUCUUGACGGUACCUAAUCAGAAAGCCACGGCUAACUACGUG